rnacentral:rRNA from 1 species
UGGGGAAUAUUGCACAAUGGAGGGAACUCUGAUGCAGCGACGCCGCGUGAGUGAUGAAGGAAUUCGUUUCGUAAAACUCUUUUCUAUGGGAAGAAAAGGACUGUACCAUAGGAGAAAGCUCCGGCUAAAUACGUGCCAGCAGCCGCGGUAAUACGUAUGGAGCGAGCGUUGUCCGGAAUUAUUGGGCGGAAAGGGUGCGCAGGCGGCUUUACAAGUUGGAUGUGAAAUAUUGUGGCUCAACCACAAACGUGCAUCCAAAACUGCCAAGCUUGAGUUAAGGAGAGGUAAGUGGAAUUCCUGGUGUAGCGGUGGAAUGCGUAGAUAUCAGGAGGAAUACCGGUGGCGAAGGCGACUUACUGGACUUAAACUGACGCUCAGGCACGAAAGCGUGGGGAGCAAACAGG